rnacentral:rRNA from 1 species
UGGGGAAUAUUGCGCAAUGGCCGAAAGGCUGACGCAGCGACGCCGCGUGUGGGAGGAAGCCCUUCGGGGUGUAAACCACUGUCAGGGGGGAAGAAACCUGGUCACGGGAAUAUCGUGGUCAGUUGACGGUACCCCCAGAGGAAGCGCCGGCUAACUCCGUGCCAGCAGCCGCGGUAAGACGGAGGGCGCAAGCGUUGUUCGGAAUUACUGGGCGUAAAGCGCAAGCAGGCGGUCUGUUAAGUCCUCUGUGAAAACCCGGAGCUCAACUCCGGGAGCGCAGAAGAUACUGGCAGGCUAGAGAUUGGUAGAGGCAAGCGGAAUUCCUGGUGUAGCGGUGGAAUGCGUAGAUAUCAGGAAGAACACCUGUGGCGAAGGCGGCUUGCUGGGCCAAAUCUGACGCUCAUUUGCGAAAGCGUGGGGAGCAAACAGGAUUAGAUACCCCCGUAGUCC